rnacentral:lncRNA from 1 species
CAGCAGGAGGAGGAGGCCGGAGCAAGAGGAGGCCGGCCGGCCAGAGGAGGAGGAGGAGGAGGCCGGGCGAAGUGGGAGAGGGAGCGGAGGCCGAGACCGGGAGAGGGAGAGGGAGAGGAGGCGGAGACCGGGAGAGGGAGAGGAGGCGGAGACCGGGAGAGUGAGAGGGAGAGGGAGGCGACUGAACGACCGAGGGAGCGGAGGCGGAGGAGGGGAAAUUCGGAGAGGGAGAGGAAAAGGAGGCUAGGGUUUACAACCAGUCGAGCGCUGGGUUAUACCCGAACACUUUAGCCGACGAAAUAAUUAUUUCGUCGGCUAAAUGUAAUAAUUUCGUCGGCUAACCUAACACUUUAGCCGACGAAAUAAUUAUUUCGUCGACUAAAGAUAAUAAUCUUGUCGGCUAAGAUAAAAUUCGUCGGCUAAACCUUUGAAAUUCGUCCUCUAAACCUAUGAAAUUCGUCGGCUAAACACAAAAUUCGUCGGCUAUAACCAUUUAAAUUCGUCGGCUUUAUAACUUUUUAUACAUUCGUCAAACUGUGACUGCUGCUCGUGAUGAUCAAACUUUAGAACCAAAAUCCGACCGUCAGAUCUGACCAUCAUGAUAAAAUACAUAUAUGGGAAAAAAUUCAACUUGAUCCGACAAGGUUAAGGGCUCGAUCCGGACGGUCAAUCCGUUAAGUCAAACCCCUAAACGCACGGAAAAGGUCAUUGGACUGUCUAAAUUACGUAUUUUGGCCGGACCUUCAACUGAAAAUAGUUUCAAACCGAUGAGACGCAACAAGUCCUAUAAAAAUUUUAUGCAAAAUAACCACCGAAGAUAGGGCUACCGAUAGGGAGAAAGAAUGGAAAAUUGCAUUGACCGCAACUAUCGGCACCGAGACAUGACCGGAAUACCGUGAUUUUUCAUUCGUAGACGUAUUUCACCAUUCUGGUCAUGUCUUAUUUCACGACUUUUUUACUUUUGAAGGUUCUACGUAUAAUUUGUUUUUGAAACGGAACAUUUACUUAACACUUGGUAAACAAGUUAUACAACUGACGUGUCGCGUAACCGGG